AAGUCGUAACAAGGUUUCCGUAGGUUUCCUGCGUGGGCUCCUACCACAUUAAUUUUACCUCGGUGGUGCGAGGGCCAAGUGGCCUGCCGCACCGAACACACAACUGUUAACAAUGGAUAUCUUGGUUCUC
rnacentral:misc_RNA from 1 species